GCAAUCCUUUUGCCUCGACCUCCCAAAAUGCUGGGAUUACAGACCUCUGGAGCUAUUCUCCUUAUCUAUAAUUUUCCUGAAUUAAUCCAGUGAAUCAUGGCUAGAGUUCUAUAUUAGUCUAAGAAUAGAUAUAUGAAGCAAGACUCCUUGACUUCAGAGCCACAAGAUUAUUUUAGAGUCAUCUGCAUCUCAUUGGAUUCAGGAAAGAAGAGCAACUACAAGACUCAUGGUGAUCUGACACAGACAACUAAAGCAAGUUCUUGAAGAUUUUCACUGUGGAAAGUGCUUAGUUUUUGCUGCU